GAUGAACGCUGGCGGCGCGCCUAAUACAUGCAAGUCGAGCGAACGGACGAGAAGCUUGCUUUUCUGAUGUUAGCGGCGGACGGGUGAGUAACACGUGGAUAACCUACCUAUAAGACUGGGAUAACUUCGGGAAACCGGAGCUAAUACCGGAUAAUAUUUUGAACCGCAUGGUUCAAAAGUGAAAGACGGUCUUGCUGUCACUUAUAGAUGGAUCCGCGCUGCAUUAGCUAGUUGGUAAGGUAACGGCUUACCAAGGCAACGAUGCAUAGCCGACCUGAGAGGGUGAUCGGCCACACUGGAACUGAGACACGGUCCAGACUCCUACGGGAGGCAGCAGUAGGGAAUCUUCCGCAAUGGGCGAAAGCCUGACGGAGCAACGCCGCGUGAGUGAUGAAGGUCUUCGGAUCGUAAAACUCUGUUAUUAGGGAAGAACAUAUGUGUAAGUAACUGUGCACAUCUUGACAGUACCUAAUCAGAAAGCCACGGCUAACUACGUG
rnacentral:rRNA from 1 species